rnacentral:lncRNA from 1 species
UCCAGUGUGAGUCCUACCAUGCCUUCAAAGGUGUGGGGCACAUCUGAAGGCUUUCCCACAUUGCUUACACUCAUAGGGUUUCUCUCCAGUGUGAGUCCUUUCAUGAUAUUGAAAGGAACUGGAAAGACUGAAGGCUUUACCACAUGGCUUGCAUUUAUAGGGUUUCUCUCCAGUGUGAGUUUUUUCAUGUCUUCGAAAUGACUUGGCAGAAUAAAAGCCUUUCCCACAUAUCUAACAUUUAUAAGGUCUUUCUCCAGAGUGCAUUCUUAGGUGUGUUUGAAAACUUAUAAGAUAAGAUAAUGCUUUCCCACACUGCUUACAUUCAUAAGGUUUUUCGCAGAGUGGGUCCUUUCAUGUCUACGAAGGGAACUGGGAUACGUGAAUGCUUUUCUACAUUCCUUACAUUGAUAAGGCUUCUCUCCCGUGUGACUCCUUUUAUGUCUAAGAUAGGAUCUGUGACUACGGAAUGCUCUAUUACAUUUGCUACAUUCACAGGGCUUCUCCCCAGUGUGAGUUCUUUCAUGUAUUUGAAAGGAAUGACACCAACUGAAGAUUUGCCACAUUGUUUACAUUCAUAUGGCUUUCCCCCAGUGUGGGUUCUUUUAUGUGCUUGAAAGGAACUGGAACUAUGGAAUGCUUUCCCACAUUGCUGACAUUCAUAAGGCUUUUCUCCAGUGUGAGUUCUUUCAUGUAUUCGAAGGGUAGCAGAAUAACUAAAGGAUUUAACACAUUGUUUGCAUUCAUACGGUUUCUCUCCAGUGUGAGUUCUUUCAUGGAUAAGAUAUAAUCUGAGACAAUGGAAGGCUUUCCCACAAAACUUACAUUUAUAAGGUCCAUCCCCACUGUGCAUUACCAUGCGUCUUCGAAUGCCUGAAUGGGAAAUAAAGGUUUUUCCACAUUCUUUACAAGCAUAGGGUUUCUCUCCGGUGUGAUUCCUUUCUUGUGUUCUAAAGGAGGGGUGAUAUCUGAAGGCUUUCUUAGGUUGUUGACACUUAUAUGGCUUUGGUCCAUAUUCCUGAUACUCACAUGCCUUGUGUCCAGUGUCACCUCUGAUGUUCAUAUUAAAAGACGAGUUACCUAUGCCAACUUCUGCACACACAAAGCUGUCACAUGAUUUUACUUCAGGAGAAGCUUUCUUCUCCUGGAAGUUCAGUCUGUCAUCUAGAACCUGGGUAAAAGUUUCUCCACGAUGAC